GGGACGGGCUAGCCAGUCACUAGACUGUGAGGGAGGAGGGACGGUGCCGUCACAAUGUAUGCGCAGCGCGUUUUCGUUCCACGGAGGAAAACAAUGGACUGUUUUGGUGCGCUUCUGAGCAUGAGCUCUGUCGCUCAUUCUGGUGCCUAAAGCAACAUGGCGUACGCGAGCACACGGGCGCCAUAUUGGAGGUGGCAGAGAAAGAUUUCGUAAAAUAAAAAUAAAAUGUUUGGCCGUCACACAUCUUUUUACAUAAACAUGUUACGUGCGUUAUUCUUGUUUAGUUUGUUUAUUUCUGCUGUUUAAACAGAGUUUUCUUUGUAUGCUGUCACAACCAUGACAGCCGGCACAUCCAUUCUCUUUGUUAGCUGCGCGCCCAAAAUUGUCUUGAAUGAAACGAGCAGGAGGAUUCCUUCGGCGCUUAAUAUGCGUCAGAGCAGUCCGGCGACACAAUCUAGAGCAUGGCUGCUGCUGCUGCUGCUACAUUACACUAGAGUGGAGUGUCGAACCACCGCUACAACAUGAUUCUUUACGUUAUCGGCAGCCACUAUUUCAUUUCCGUCCAACCCUUGCUUAUGUCUUACGAAUGAAAAAAAAUCUCGCGUUUGUGGCAUGUUUAUGUCCUCUCAAUAAAGUUGGUUGAAAAAAAAGACAUUGUUCGCGCAAAUCAUUGAGUUGUGCGCUCCGGAAGUCUGCGGUGGCACUUCCGGUACAGAAUUUAUGUGGGAGAGGAAGAGUUUGUGUAACUGUGUAGAGCAGAUAUUGAUACAGGAAAUGUAAAAACGUGUUUUUCGACUAUUGUUCGAAUGUGAUGGCAUGGUGGUAGUUGUAGUUCGUUCCUUUUACGUCGUAAUAAAAAAAUCUGAGUAACUGCUAAAAUCCCGAAAACAGGGACCUAGCAGAGAUGCAGCGUAUCAGUGUGUCUGGCAAAGAGAUUUGCAGGGCGCAGGGUCCUGCCUUGAGAGGCAAAGAAAGAAAAGCAUCAUAUUGGUCUGUGGAUUUUCAGGUGAAGAAAACUGGUUCCUAUCAUUCACCAGAGGAAGAUGAGCUGCAGCUUAAGCCAAGGCCUACCCACCACCUCUACACACCCGAGGGAGACUUUACUUAGUCUGACCCAUUUUCUUAGUCACUGCUUUUACCUCUUAUUGCCCAGAGGGAAGGGCAGUCCUUCAAGCCAUGCUACCCCAGAGGUUUACUCCACUGGGGCUUUUACUCUCCUGAGUGCUGAAUGAUGACUUUUCAUGAGUCCAGAGGCUGCACUUUUUGCUGCACCCCCAAAAAAUCUUAUUAAACAGCAGUGAUGAUUUUAUA